AUUGAGUGUAUAUAAGUUCAUUUUUCUCAUCCCCAAAAGAAUUGUCAUUUAGAUGAAUUGCAAAACAACUUGGGUAUAAACACAAUAUCUAUGGGCGCAUUAGUAAUACUAGAUGGAAUUGUUGAUUUAAAAACUGUGAAGCCAUUAAACAAUGUUUUAAGAGUAUUCUUAUUGUAUUUAAAAGAUAAAUAGAAAAUGAAGCUGAUGUCAAUGAAGUAAAAGAAAUACUCUCAACAAUUACAAAAGGAUGGCUCCUUUUUUAUUAUACUUUUGUUCAUCAUGCACAACAUCUUGUGUUUCAUAUAUAUAUAGGGCCUAAAAGAAAAAAACAACAGCCAAAUCAUUUGGAUCGGAUUAUAGUAAACACUACUAAACACUACAGAUGCAAUAUCUAAAAUAAUGCGCGAACACAUAAUAAAAGCUGAAGAUUAUUACUGAAUCAAUAUAUAUAUUAUAAAAUCCUAGAUUCAUUUUAACAACAUUUAAAAUUUGAAAACAAAGUCGAUUUUCCAUAGAGAAUAUGCCUCUUGCUG